GGAUAAAGGUGCACGGCAUUGAGAUCUUCCACAUUGUGUGCUUCAUCCGUGCGUGAUCCCUCCCCGAUAUUACACAGUCUAUUUAAAAGCAACAUCCACCGACUCAUUCCAUCACUCACCACUUUGGUCGUCUCACCUGCUCUCGCGGUGAUCAGGAGAGGUAUCCAGUGAUGGAUCAGGACAAGUACCUGCCAGAGCUCCUUGCUGAGAAGGAAAGCUUGGACCCGUCGUUCAUGCAUGCGAUGCGCCUUCUCGCGGAAGAAAUUGAAAAGUUUGAAGGAGACGAGUUGAGAAAAGAUGGAGAGGUGAAGAAAUACUUGGAUAUCAUCAGCAACAAAAACAUCAAGCUGUCAGAGAGAGUGCUGAUCCCAGUACAGCAGUAUCCUAAGUUUAAUUUUGUUGGGAAGCUGCUGGGACCCAGGGGCAAUUCUAUGAAAAGAUUACAAGAGGAAACCGGAGCAAAGAUGUCCAUCCUCGGCAAGGGUUCAAUGAGAGAUAAAGGCAAGGAGGAAGAGCUGAGGAAAAGUGGAGAGGCAAAGUAUGCCCAUUUGAGCAAUGAUCUUCAUGUUUUAAUUGAAGUCUUUGCACCACCUGGAGAGGCCUACUCCCGCAUGAGCCAUGCCCUGGAGGAGAUUAAGAAGUUCCUUGUUCCAGAUUACAAUGAUGAAAUCAGGCAGGAGCAGCUGCGUGAACUAUCUUACUUAAACGGCUCAGAUGACCCAAGCAGAGGAAGAACUGUACGAGGACGUGGCAUGCGUGUGGCCUCCACCGUCUCCACACGAGAGCGAGGAGGGGCAGCUCCACCUCCUCCACCGGGACGAGGAGCAGCAGCACCCAGAGGAACUGGGGGUACACGUAUCUCCCUUCCCACAUCCACACUUGCCAGAGGAGUGUCUGCACCGCGGGCCAGAGGAACCCCAGCGACCCCUGGAUACAGACAUCCGCCACUGCAGGCCACGCACAAAUCAUACGAUGACUAUGGAUAUGAUGAUGGCUAUGAUGGGGAAUACGAUGACCAGAGUUAUGAGGCCUAUGAUGAUAAUUACAGCAACCAGUCAAAAAGUGUCUCAGAGUAUUAUGAGUAUGGACAUGGAAAUAAUGAUGAAACCUACAACAAUUAUGCAGAAGAGGACUGGAUAUCAUCCCGGCCCAACCUCAAAGCUCCAGCAUCAAAACUUACUCGAGGGGGCUACAGAGAUCACCCCUAUGGUAGAUAUUAAAGGUGCUCCAUAUCUUGUGACCGCCGCACAAUGCCAACCUUAUUUCCUAAAUCAUCUAAAAAAGCAUUUUUUAAGUGAUAGUUCAAUCAUGUUUUUAAACUCACCCUAACCCAGGAAAAAGCCCUAUGGUCCAUUCUUUUCCUAUCUGACAAUGUGAACUUCUUUGUAAGACAACUUUGUGAACAUUGGUUGAAAUUUAAUUCUGGCAAAGGACUUGGCAGUAUACCUUUUUCAUGGAAUGCUCCUUUUAGUUUACCAUUGUUUGUCCCCCAAAUGUAAAGCAUGGAAUUAUUUAUGCUUCUCUGACAUUGGGAAUCAUUUUGUUAAUGCAAAAUUUUUUAUCAAAAUUCACAUUGUACAUACCAUCUUUCUUAAUACAUCUUGAUUUGAUGAUGGUAAAUACUGAGUUUGUACAUUUGAUUUUGAUAUCAGUAUUGGUUUUGAAAGCAAUUGGCUAUGUAUGUAGCCACAUACAAGUAUUUUGCUUUGUGUGUAGCUUGUAUCUGUACAUAAAAAUGUAAUAAAAAGGAUGUAAAUCGCCUUGUGCAAGCUUCUCUAAAUAGGUGAUGAUAGUUGUUAAACUUGUGUUGCUAUAAUUUGCUAAUAAGGAUGAGAUCAUUUUUGUAAAAUUAGAUAGUUACGUACUUGUCUCUAUAGUACUAAAUGCCUGUUUGAGGAAAUGGCUAAUACAGUAUGUUUAUAUAUAUAUAUAUAUAUAUAUAUAUAUAUAUGUUUAACAAAGGAAAGCAGCAAAAAUUAACUGUAGAGGCAUUGUCAAGUCAUUUUGUGUAAUAAUAGAUAAGCUACAGUAAUACAAUUAAACUUUGUUAAAUAAUUUUAACAUUAGCUCUAAAUUGUUUAUUGACUCUUGAUUAGUCAUUUAAAUGUUUAACAUGUUAAUUGAAAUCAAUAAAUUGAAUCUUUUUAACACACUCUUUAAGCUUCAGCGCAUUAAACAAAAAUUCUGACUGACUUGUCUGCACUAGCGUGACUGAGAAUGAUAUGGCGAUUCAGGAGGUAAGAACGUCCCCAUAUUACAAUAAGAUGUGCCUUCAGCCACUGUGGCCAAUGUGAAUAUGGCUGAUAUUUCAUCACUCAUAGGAGUGAAUGGGAUCCAGUUAAAAUGCUUUAUCUCUGUUACCUAUAUUCUUCUGCCAUUUAAGUUAUUGAACAUCAGAAGGCUGAAUUUGUGUUGUAAUGCCAAUGCUUUUAAAUAUCACUAUAUAGCACUAUUGAAGGCCCUAUAGAUACCUGAACUCUCUUUUGUGACUGUUAGAACUGAAUGCUGACGCGUAUUAAGACAACGAAAGGAUGACUAAACAUUAAGCAGGUACCAGUCUUGCUGUGAGCUGAGAUUCUGUGGAUUGAAUCUGACUUGGUGCUUUCCAGUCGGUAUGUGGAGCAUACUAAUAAAACCGAGAAGUGAGGAGGCUCUGUGUCAUUUGGCUGACAAAGUGUUUACAGACUGUGCAGAUGAUGUAUGCCAGUGUUACUCAGAAUGAAGCUCUCCCCUCCAUGGUUACCACUGCCCUUCAAUAGGGAUGACCUUGGGAGAACAUUGUUGCAGGUCACAGAUGAUAACUGAACACUGAGAUACAGUAUAUGUACAGGUAUCUUUGUCACUGUAAAAACCAAUGUGAUCUCAUUAAUGUUCAUCGAUAUUUGUACAUAAAGUGCAGCUCUUGCAAACAUACAUGUUUGGAUACAUUGGCUGUCUGUUAAGGAAUUUUUCGGGGAGGCUGAUUUGUACUGUACAUCAAUAUUGAUUAAUCAAACCAAUAAAAGAUUGCUGUAAGUUUUAUUACAGUUUUUCUCAAUCACUUUGGCUCAAUUCUCAAAUGAGAAUGUUUUUUUUUUUUUUUUUUUCAAAACAAUAAGUUAAAUCUCUGAACAUUUAGUUUCUUGUUCACACCAGAUUUGAAUUUCUUAUUCAUUUAAGCAAAUUGCAUGUGUUUUGGCACAUGUGUGCAAAAGAGUAAGUACAAUUGUCUACAAUUUGCACAAUAACUAAAUGCACAUGGCUUGCUGAUCAAUUCUCAGUAAAAAUGUUCAUACUCUGCACAACUUAUAAACAUUCUUUCAUCGUGUGAGCCAUCACAUGCAAAAUGAUCCAUUGAAUUAUCAAAAUCUGUCAGACAUGCAUGUAUAUUCCAUAAAUAUUGAAUCUACGACAUGGAAUGUUUGUGACACUUUGUAAUUGUCCUAAACAAAUUGUGCAUUUUUCUUGAUUUUCCUCAUUUUCUAAUGUGCUUAUAGUGCUGUCUUAGGUUCAUACAAUUUAGUAAGACUGCAAAUGUUUUGUUUGCUUGUUGUUUUUUGUUUGUUUGUUUGUUUGUUUUUACAGUAAACAUCUUCAUCAUUCUUCCAGAGGAAUAGCAGGAACAACAAGAAAUUUAGAGGCAUUUUAUGAAAACAGAUGGAAAAAGGUCUUUAUUGUGGAUUUUUAUAAUAAAUGUGUUAUUUCAAUCAUAGAGUUGCAUGUCUAUAGCUGCAAAUGUUAUGAAUUCAAUAGAGAAAACAUCUAUAGUUUUGAUGUUAGUAUUUAGAUUUAAUAAAUGCAUUAUCAGGAAAGAAUAUGUUGCUUCAUUAUGCAGUGAAAUUGAAUUGUUUUGCAAAACUGAGUGUCUGUUUUGAGAGCACUGAUUAUAGUUUGGAGAAAUUUAUAAAAUCGAUGGAGAAAAACUGUAAAUCUAUGGCCAGACCAACAAGAGCAAUGGGAUGUCCACCAAGAAGAUGGGAACUUGUAGUGUUAUGUACUGUGAGGAGGAACAGUUUACUGUUUUUGACAGAACCUCCGCAGGUUUUUUCAUUGUUGCAUUUUUAUUUUUAUUUUUUUCAUGGAUGUCAUUUUGUGGCAAUUUUCUGUUCACUAUAUAUGACUUUACAUGUAAUAAAUGUGUAAAAAUGGACAUGCAAAUGUGAAUUUUCUGUUUACAUGUAACACAUUGCUACAAAAAUAAAUUUACU